rnacentral:ncRNA from 1 species
GGCCCGCUAUAGUCAAGUGGAGCCGCAACGGACACCGGAAAAAGAUACAUACCGCCUGGAUUUCGCAAGGAACCGGUACGGGAAG